rnacentral:rRNA from 1 species
AAUGAACGCUGGCGGCAGGCCUAACACAUGCAAGUCGAACGGAUCCUUCGGGAUUAGUGGCGGACGGGUGAGUAACGCGUGGGAACAUACCCAAAGGUACGGAAUAGCCUCGGGAAACUGGGAGUAAUACCGUAUGUGCUCGAAAGAGGAAAGAUUUAUCGCCUUUGGAUUGGCCCGCGUUGGAUUAGGUAGUUGGUGGGGUAAUGGCCUACCAAGCCGACGAGCCAUAGCUGGUUUGAGAGGAUGAUCAGCCACACUGGGACUGAGACACGGCCCAGACUCCUACGGGAAGCAGCAGUGGGGAAUCUUAGACAAUGGGGGAAACCCUGAUCUAGCCAUGCCGCGUGAUCGAUGAAGGCCUUAGGGUUGUAAAGAUCUUUCAGGUGGGAAGAUAAUGACUGUACCACCAGAAGAAGCCCCGGCUAACUCCGUGCCAGCAGCCGCGGUAA